rnacentral:rRNA from 1 species
AUUGAACGCUGGCGGCAUGCCUUACACAUGCAAGUCGAACGGCAGCACGGGUGCUUGCACCUGGUGGCGAGUGGCGAACGGGUGAGUAAUACAUCGGAACGUACCUUAUCGUGGGGGAUAACGCAGCGAAAGCUGUGCUAAUACCGCAUACGCCCUGAGGGGGAAAGCGGGGGAUCGAAAGACCUCGCGCGAUUAGAGCGGCCGAUGCCUGAUUAGCUUGUUGGUGGGGUAAAAGCCCACCAAGGCGACGAUCAGUAGCUGGUCUGAGAGGACGAUCAGCCACACUGGGACUGAGACACGGCCCAGACUCCUACGGGAGGCAGCAGUGGGGAAUUUUGGACAAUGGGGGAAACCCUGAUCCAGCAAUGCCGCGUGAGUGAAGAAGGCCUUCGGGUUGUAAAGCUCUUUUGUCAGGGAAGAAACACCGGCUCUAACACAGUCCGGGAAUGACGGUACCUGAAGAAUAAGCACCGGCUAACUACGUGCCAGCAGCCGCCGCCG